rnacentral:tRNA from 1 species
AACGAUAUAGUUUAAGUAUGUAGAUGUGUGCUCUGCAAGCACUCGGUAGAGUUUUCUUAUCGUUA